CUUCGAGCGAACAGGGAGAGCCCGCACCGAUCCCGCGAUCCGAGUGCAGGGAAAUGUGGUGUUAGGGAGGUCGCCCGAACCUUCCGCGAGCGCGGCGCGCUCCAAGUCCUCUGAAAGGGGCCACGGCCCGCAGAGGGUGCCAGGCCCGUAGGGACGCKCCGUUCGCUGGSGGGAAGGGCCCUCCGUAGAGUCGGGUUGCUUGAGAUCGCAACCCUAAGCAGGUGGUAAACUCCAUCUAAGGYUUCAAUAUUAYUUGMMMUACGAGACCGAUAGCGAACAAGUACCGUGAGGGAAAGUUGAAAGAACUUUGAAGAGAGAGUUCAAAGUACGUGAAACCGCUCAGGGGACAAACGAAGGUGCUGGAGCAAACGAGUCCGGGGAAACUCAAGCGUUGCAACCCUUUCGACCCGUCUGAAACACGGACCAAGGAGUCUAACRUGKGCGCGWGUCAUUGGGUUGUUAGACCUAAAGGCGCAAUGAAAGUGAAGGUUUUGCCYCSCGCMGACCUGCCACCGAGGGAAGAUGGAGCGSGCGUYAGCGCGGCUCCCGCAUUCCCGGGGCGUCUCGUUCUCRMURCGAGUUGAGGCGCACCCAGAGCGUACACGUUGGGACCCGAAAGAUGGUGAACUAUGCCUGGCCRGRASGAAGYCRGGGGRAACCCUGAUGGAGGUCCGUAGCGAUUCUGACGUGCAAAUCGAUCGUCSGAGCUGGGUAUASGGGCGAARRRCURAUCGMACYAUCUAGUAGCUGGUUCCCUCCGAAGUUUCCCUCAGGAUAGCUGGUGCUCUACCGAGUCUCAUCCGGUAAAGCGAAUGAUUAGAGGCCUUGGGGCCGAAACGACCUCAACCUAUUCUCAAACUUUAAAUGGGUGAGAUCUCCGGCUUGCUUAAAGCAAUGAAGCCGCGAGAGUUGGAUGGAUCGGAGUGCCAAGUGGGCCACUUUUGGUAAGCAGAACUGGCGCUGUGGGAUGAACCAAACGCCGAGUUAAGGCGCCCGAAUCGACGCUCAUGGGAAACCAUGAAAGGCGUUGGUUGCUUAAGACAGCAGGACGGUGGCCAUGGAAGUCGGAAUCCGCUAAGGAGUGUGUAACAACUCACCUGCCGAAGCAACUAGCCCUGAAAAUGGAUGGCGCUGAAGCGUCGUGCCUAUACUCGGCCGUCAGCACGGCAAUGAGGGGUGCGAGGCUCGUCACUUGUGGCGAGUCCGCCCCGUGAAGCCCUGACGAGUAGGAGGGUCGCGGCGGUGAGCGCAGARGGGUCUGGGCGUGAGCCUGCCUGGAGCCGCCGUCGGUGCAGAUCUUGGUGGUAGUAGCAAAUACUCCAGCGAGGCCCUKGAGRACUGACGUGGAGAAGGGUUUCGUGUGAACAGCCGUUGCACACGAGUCAGUCGAUCCUAAGCCCUAGGAGAAAUCCGAUGUCGAUGGGGACGGAUCACUAUUGUAAAAUAUGGUCCCCACUGGGCGAAAGGGAAUCCGGUUCCUAUUCCGGAACCCGGCAGCGGAACCGUCUGAAGUCGGGCCCCUCUUUAUGAGAAGCUCGUCGGGGUAACCCAACAGGACCCGGAGACGCCGUCGGGAGAUCGGGGAAGASUUUUCYUUYCUGUAUGAGCGUUCGAGUUCCCUGGAAUCCUCUAGCAGGGAGAUAGGGUWURGWRCGYSWMGAGCACCGCAGUUGCGGCGGUGUCCCGAUCUUCCCCUCGGACCUUGAAA
rnacentral:rRNA from 1 species